ensembl:miRNA
UCCUCCUGGCCCGUUUUGGCACUAGCACAUUUUUGCUUUGUUCCUUGUUGUUUGAGCAAUCAUGUGUAGUGCCAAUAUGGGCUGAGAGUAAGA